UAGGGAAUAUUGGACAAUGGGGGGAACCCCGAUCCAGCCAUGCCGCGUGGAGGAAGACUGCCCUCUGGGUUGUAAACUCCUUUUAUAUGGGAAGAACCGUCCUCAUUGAUGAGUGACCUGACGGUACCAUAGGAAUAAGCACCGGCUAACUCCGUGCCAGCAGCCGCGGUAAUACGGAGGGUGCAAGCGUUAUCCGGAUUCACUGGGUUUAAAGGGUGCGUAGGCGGAUAUGUAAGUCAGUGGUGAAAUCAACGGGCUCAACCUGUUAACUGCCAUUGAUACUGUGUAUCUUGAAUAUGAGAGAGGUAGGCGGAAUGUUGCAUGUAGCGGUGAAAUGCUUAGAUAUGCUACGGAACACCGAUUGCGAAGGCAGCUUACUAUUUCGUAAUUGACGCUGAGGCACGAAAGCCUGGGUAGCGAACA
rnacentral:rRNA from 1 species